GACGAACGCUGGCGGCGUGCCUAAUACAUGCAAGUAGAACGCUGAAGGAGGAGCUUGCUUCUCUGGAUGAGUUGCGAACGGGUGAGUAACGCGUAGGUAACCUGCCUGGUAGCGGGGGAUAACUAUUGGAAACGAUAGCUAAUACCGCAUAAGAGUGGAUGUUGCAUGACAUUUGCUUAAAAGGUGCAAUUGCAUCACUACCAGAUGGACCUGCGUUGUAUUAGCUAGUUGGUGGGGUAACGGCUCACCAAGGCGAUGAUACAUAGCCGACCUGAGAGGGUGAUCGGCCACACUGGGACUGAGACACGGCCCAGACUCCUACGGGAGGCAGCAGUAGGGAAUCUUCGGCAAUGGACGGAAGUCUGACCGAGCAACGCCGCGUGAGUGAAGAAGGUUUUCGGAUCGUAAAGCUCUGUUGUAAGAGAAGAACGAGUGUGAGAGUGGAAAGUUCACACUGUGACGGUAUCUUACCAGAAAGGGACGGCUAACUACGUGCCAGCAGCCGCGGUAAUACGUAGGUGGCAAGCGUUAUCCGGAUUUAUUGGGCGUAAAGAGAGUGCAGGCGGUUUUCUAAGUCUGAUGUGAAAGCCUUCGGCUUAACCGGAGAAGUGCAUCGGAAACUGGAUAACUUGAGUGCAGAAGAGGGUAGUGGAACUCCAUGUGUAGCGGUGGAAUGCGUAGAUAUAUGGAAGAACACCAGUGGCGAAGGCGGCUACCUGGUCUGCAACUGACGCUGAGACUCGAAAGCAUGGGUAGCGAACAGG
rnacentral:rRNA from 1 species